GAUGAACGCUAGCGGCAGGCCUAAUACAUGCAAGUCGAACGGCAGCGGGCCUUCGGGUGCCGGCGAGUGGCGAACGGGUGAGUAAUGCAUCGGAACGUGCCAUUGAGUGGGGGAUAACGUAGCGAAAGUUACGCUAAUACCGCAUAUUCUGUGAGCAGGAAAGCAGGGGACCGCAAGGCCUUGCGCUCUUUGAGCGGCCGAUGUCAGAUUAGCUAGUUGGUGAGGUAAAGGCUUACCAAGGCGACGAUCUGUAGCGGGUCUGAGAGGAUGAUCCGCCACACUGGAACUGAGACACGGUCCAGACUCCUACGGGAGGCAGCAGUGGGGAAUUUUGGACAAUGGGCGCAAGCCUGAUCCAGCCAUGCCGCGUGAGUGAAGAAGGCCUCGGUGUAAG
rnacentral:rRNA from 1 species